rnacentral:rRNA from 1 species
AAAAGAAAAUAUAGAAAAACUAAAAGUUUUGUUUUUGUAGUUACAAUAUCUAAAGGAUAUAAGAAACAAGUUAUAUUGGAUAAAAUCCUCCUUUUUGUAUCACGGUCCAAUAAAUUUAUUAAUUAUCUAAGAACCCGAAUUCUGUUGAUUACUCUUAAUUCCGUUAAGAACUUAUAUAUUUAAAUGUAUUUUUAUAUAGAAAUAAAGAGAGAAUAAAAAUUAUAAUCGGUUCAGAAUAUAUCUGGUUGAGGUUAAAAAAUUACUAAGUACUUUUUUGGGUUAAUCUCAAAAAAGUAAAAAGAGGUAUUAUAUAAUUGAAAAAUGUUUAAGACGAAAAGUGUCUAAAACUAAAGGGUUUUAUAACUAUAUUUAAAAUGUAUGAUGAUCUUUAUUUUAUUAGUCCUUAUAUAAAUCAGUAUCAUAUAAUGAUGGAAUAAGUAAAUAAAAAUAAUUAUAAGGAACUCAAAAUUUUUACAACUGUUUAUCAAAAACAUUUCCUUUAGAAUAUAUUUAAAGGUAUUGCCUGCCCAAUGUUAAAUUAUUAAUGGCUGCGGUAUCUUAACUGCACUAAGGUAGCAUAAUUAAUUGUCUUUUAAAUGGUGACCUGUUUGAAUGGCUUAAUGAGAAAAAAAAUUUCUUUUAAUUAUAAUAAAAUUAUAUUUCAAGGUUAAAAUACCUGAUUAUAAAAGAAAGACGAGAAGACCCUGUUGAGUUUUACAUUUUAUUUAUAAUGUUAAAAUGGGAAAUUUAGCCUUUUAUUAAGGUUUAUUAGAUCCUGGAAUGAUAUAUCAUUUUGGAUGUAGGAUAAAAUUACCACAGGGAUAACAGGACAAUAUAUGCUAAGAGUUCUAAUCGAAGCAAAUGGUUGUUACCUCGAUGUUGAAUCGAAAUCUCUUUUUGAUGCAGCAGUCAAUAAAGUAGGUCUGUUCGACCUUUUAAAUUUCACGUGAUUUGAGUUAAGACCGGCGUGAGCCAGGUUGGUUUCUAUCUUUUUUUGGUCGAUCUUUGUACGAAAGGAAUUGAUCGGUUAGAUAUAUUCUAAAAUU